rnacentral:hammerhead_ribozyme from 1 species
GCUGAAGAGUCCCGCAAUAGGACGAAACGGCCGUCC